GACGAACGCUGGCGGCGUGCUUAACACAUGCAAGUCGAACGGUGAAGCGCCUUCCUUUUUGGUGGGUGUGGAUGAGUGGCGAACGGGUGAGUAACACGUGAGUAACCUGCCCCCUUCUUCUGGAUAACCGCAUGAAAGUGUGGCUAAUACGGGAUAUUCUGGGUCUGUCGCAUGAUGGGUCUGGGAAAGAUAUUGUUUCGGUGGGGGAUGGGCUCGCGGCCUAUCAGCUUGUUGGUGGGGUGAUGGCCUACCAAGGCGGUGACGGGUAGCCGGCCUGAGAGGGUGGACGGUCACACUGGGACUGAGACACGGCCCAGACUACUACGAGAGGCAGCAGUGGGGAAUAUUGCACAAUGGGCGCAAGCCUGAUGCAGCGACGCCGCGUGAGGGAUGGAGGCCUUCGGGUUGUGAACCUCUUUCGCCAGUGAAGCAGGCCUGCCUCGUUUGUGGGUGGGUUGACGGUAGCUGGAGAAGAAGCGCCGGCUAACUACGUG
rnacentral:rRNA from 1 species